UAAAACUAAAAUAUAUAGUGUUAAUAGUAAAGUAAAUAGUAUUGUAUGAAAUAUAAUAAAAUUUUAAGGUAUUUUACUUAUAUAUAUAUAUAUAUAUAUAUAAAAAAAAAAUUAAAUGUCCAUAAAGCAUAAUAAAAAUCUAUUAGUUUUUUUUAAUUUCUUAGUGGCUAAUAUAAUAUUGAAGGCUUGCUAUCUCCACCAUUGAUUACAUUAAUCUAAUGGUUCAAUAUUUCAAAUCUCCACCCUUUUUCUUCAUUGGCUAAUCCAGGACUACCAAGAUUGCCAUCUCAGCCAUUAAUUUCAUUUUAAUCUAAGGGUCAAAAAUUCUUUGGUUUUCUCUCCUCUCUCCUCCGACAUAUUCUUUCUUCUUUCUCCUCUUUCAUUUCUUCUGCAAACAGAAGAUAUCUCUAAUUCAAUUGUUUCUUUCUCUUCCUCUCUCAAACACAAAUGGACGAGUGGAGAUUAAUUAGAGAAUGAUUAUUGUAUACAAACAGUAGUAUUUAACUCCAGCAAUCCAACGUUUCAAGAACUGGAUUAAUUGGAGAAUCCAGUCAAACAUACGUCUCAAGAACUGGAUUCCGGCGGAGAAGCGGUGCCAUAUGCGGCGGAGGAAUUGAGAUCCAGGCGAGUCAUCCGAUAGACUUCGCGCUGUUGCCUGUAGGAUGAAGAAUUGAAGAAGGAGAAGCAGAAGGUGGAAGAGGAGGAACAAGAAGAAAAAGACUACGGCGUGACAUAGUGUGAAUGUGUGAUGGUGUACGAGCGCGACGGCGCGCUUAGGGAAACCGAGCAACACGACGGCCCUUCAGCUCCAGCCAUACUCGUGGUGGCGCUAGAGACUAUCCAAGACAUAGAUUUAGGUUAUCUUUAAAACAAUUUGUAAACCAGAUAUCAUUUGUAAACCAUAAAUACCAUUGUUUAUAAAAUAAAACAAUUUCUUUUGUCUAGA